GACGAACGCUGGCGGCGUGCUUAACACAUGCAAGUCGAACGGAAAGGCCCUGCAUUUGUGGGGUGCUCGAGUGGCGAACGGGUGAGUAACACGUGAGUAACCUGCCCUUGACUUUGGGAUAACUUCAGGAAACUGGGGCUAAUACCGGAUCGGAGCUCCUGCUGCAUGGUGGGGGUUGGAAAGUUUCGGCGGUUGGGGAUGGACUCGCGGCUUAUCAGCUUGUUGGUGGGGUAGUGGCUUACCAAGGCUUUGACGGGUAGCCGGCCUGAGAGGGUGACCGGCCACAUUGGGACUGAGAUACGGCCCAGACUCCUACGGGAGGCAGCAGUGGGGAAUAUUGCACAAUGGGCGGAAGCCUGAUGCAGCGACGCCGCGUGCGGGAUGACGGCCUUCGGGUUGUAAACCGCUUUCGCCUGUGACGAAGCGUGAGUGACGGUAAUGGGUAAAGAAGCACCGGCUAACUACGUG
rnacentral:rRNA from 1 species